AUUCUGCGUACUUUACACGAGUGACGUCACAUCCGCAUAAAGCGUGUGCGUUGUUGCUGUAGUUUUGCUCUUUCCAGUGUUGAGACCUCAGGUCUCCUAUCCGGUAUGAGGGCCAAGUGGCGUAAGAAGCGAAUGCGCAGGCUGAAGCGUAAAAGAAGAAAGAUGAGGCAGAGGUCCAAAUAAAGACUGACCCCAGCUGCUAUUGGGCGUGUUGUGUUUUGAGCUCCUCACAAACCUUCUGUACAAACUUCAUAUCAAGUGUUGUCUUCAGAGACACCUUCUGGAUUUCUCCUGCUCAUCUUUAGAAGAUGCAGAACCGUUUUGACUGUGUUGCAGUUUUUGUAGCAGCUGUCUUAAGUUUUGCAAUAAGCUACUGUUGAAGAAACCUUGUAAUUUUGAAGAAAUGUAUACUAAUUUCAUGUCUAUUAGUAAAUAAAGCUUUCUAACUUUC